UGGGGCUCUAACUCAGUGGUACAGUUCAUGCCUGACAUGCAUGAGACCCCGGGUUUGAACCCCAGCACCACAA
rnacentral:tRNA from 1 species